GUCCCCUUCGGUCUAGGAGGCCCAGGACACCGCCCUUUCACGGCGGGUAACCAGGGGUUCGAAUCCCCUAGGGGACGCCA
rnacentral:tRNA from 1 species